AGUUCUAUCAACUUCUAAGUAAUAUUUUUUUUCAAUGGAUGCAAUUCUUUGUCCAUUUAGCCAAUAUUUUUCUUUGACAAUAGCUUCAAAAGUCGUAGGAUCACAUUUUAUAAAUAAGGCAAAGUGUAGGCAAAGUGUAUUAGUGCGUUUUCAAGAUCAUUAGCUUCUGUUGACUCAUAAUCUAACAUCUAGUGUAGGCUUUUUUCUAACACAUUGAAAAUGCAAAUUUGUUGUAGCUUUAACUUGUUCAUCAAGUUCAUGUGCUGUUAGUGGAGAUUAUAUUGAAAUUCCAUUUAAAGGCUUAUAAGGGGUAGGAAUUAUCAGAGCCGGAAGCUAUGUGACUUUUCUUCAAAUUUUCAAUCAAAAUCUAUUGGAAUUUAUUACUCAACAUCUCUACAUCCAUGUCUUUUCUUCAUAAAAAAAUGACAUUGCGAUUAAUGACAAUUUUCUCAGUGAUAGGAUUAUAUAAUUUUAAAGUGUUUAAAUGAUUACUAACGCCAAGGAAAAUGCACUUUACACCUUUGUAGAAGGCUUAGCAAAAUAUUGACAAUUGUAUAAUUCUUGUGAGUUGAACUCUCCACCAUAGUCUGUGCACGAUAUUUUCAUUUAAGUGUCGACUUCUCUUUCAAUGAGUGCUUUAAACAUUUGACAUGCUAUGGAAGCUUUUGAUUUUAAACCUAAAUAAAAUCGUCAAUAAAUGAGAUAAAAUUGUGUUUAUCUUCAUUUAACAUUGGCUUGAUCAAUUUAUAUAAGUCGAAUGCACUAGCUUCAACACCUUCUUUGCCUUCUUGGAUUUUCCUUUCGGACAACUAUUUCAAUGGUGCUUACUGACAACUUUAUUUUUCACAAAGUUAUGAAGGUUGCUCAAAUUAUAGAAGGCCUACCAUCAUAUUUUUUAAUUGCAAGGUUUUCAAUCCACCAAAACUUAGAUGCUCAUAACGAAAGUGCCAUAGCCAUGUUGUAUUAUUCUAAGUUUGUUACAAAAUAUAAAGUGAGUAGUGUGGUAAAGAUACAAUAGAAACAUUUUGUUUGCCAUCAUUUUCACUUAAGCACUUACACCUAAUUAACUAGCCAACACUGAGAAGGUUAGUUUUUAAAUUAAGAACAAACAGAACAUUCGAGAUAGAAUGAGAACUUCCCUUAGAUUGGAUAACAACCUUUCCUUUCCCCAUGACAAAAACUAUAGAGUCAUCACCAAAUUUAUAGUAUUUUAAAAAGUCUUAUCCAAAUUAAAAAGAAUAGAUUUACCCCUGCACACAUGAUUACCACAACUGGAAUUUAAAUACCAUACAUUCUGGUGACUUUCCUCAUUUACAUGACAUAAUAUAAGGAAGGAAAUUCCAUCUUUCCCUUUUUUCGUAAAGCUAGAUCUCACCACGAUUCUUGUUUAAAUUCAUCCAGCACACAGAGUGAGAAUGAAAAUACUUCUAAUAGUGGAAACAUUUAACAUUUGAUUUGUCUUUAUACUUUUAUUUUUGUCCCAUCAAUUCUGAUUAUCAUGAUCCUUUUCUUUUCUUCGAGAAUCAUCAACCUAUUCAUUUGAUUUGUUCUGCCUAUUCUUGUCUUUCUAACCUACUUUACCUCUCCAACUAUUUUGAGAUUUGUUGUUGCUUGUAAUGUUUGUUCUUUCUUAUCCUGCUGGAUUAUUUUCUAGUCAUAGACCAAUAAAGUGCUCUUCAAUUCAUCAAUUAAAAGUGUUGAUGUCUUUUGAUUCCUUAAUUAAACAAUCAAUAUAGUUAAAUUUUACCGUUAGAGAUCAAAGUAUCUUCUUAAUUACGAUGAAGUCUUGGAGCUAUUCGCCAUGAAUUUGUCUAUUGUUUGUGAUUGCCAUUAUCUUUGCAAAGUAUGCUAAGACUGACUUUCUGUUUCAAUUCGUAGAGAUUCAGAUUUAGUUUGAAGUGCUUGGAGGUGUAUCCUUUUCACCGUUGCUAUCCCUUGAUACCUCGUCUUCAAGGAAUCCUGAAUCUAUUUAUUUGGAAGAGUCUUUGUUAAGAUUUGUUUCUAAGAUUGAAUGAUAGAUACUUUAGAACAAGUAAUUCUUGGCUUUGAGAUCCUUUAAUUACUACCGUUCAUACUCUAUUUUAUAAGCAUUAGUCAAAAUAACACUUACUAGUAUUUCUGUAAGUUUAGUAGAAAGAUAACUACAAAUAUUGCUUUUACUUUAAGAAAUUCUUCAAUAACACGCUUUAAUGGUUGUAGUGACCAUCAAAGCAAUGAAUUGUAAGUUGAACAUAAUUCUUAGAGGACCUGAAUUUCUGAUAUCAUAACAUAAGUGAAUAGAAGUAAGUAAAUUACUAAUACUAAGUUUCUCAAUCGCACUUUUCCUAUAAGCUCUGAUACAAUUGUUAUAAGUGAAUAAGAAAUAGAACACUCAAAGUAAAGAUAAACAAACUUAACAAAAAAAUAGGAGCCAUUAUCCAGCAAAUACUACAAUUACUCUUGAAUAACUAUAGUAUACAGAAUAGGUAAACAAAAUCUAACAAGUAAGAUUACUCACAAACUUCCUAAAGACUAAGAGCAUAAAAGCACUUUAUUGACACAAAUAAGAAAUUUUCAACACAUCUUACAAAUAAUGGACCAACCAAAUUCAACCCAACUCACGAACAACCAUAGAAACAAACAACUCUUGACAUGCAAUAGCCCCUUCAUUGUCGUUGCGCUUCAAUAACUAAACCUUUUAAUCUUUUUUAAAGCCUAAACAUCAAAAUCCCACAAAUUGAUUUUGAUUGCAAUAAUGGAGUUGGCAAACAAGCUAAUGAACUUUGCAAUCAAGGUCAUAUACAACAACGUUGUGAUGAUUAGAAACAUUGAACUAGUAUAUGAGAAUCUCAAACAUAAAGAAUUCAUUCCCAAUGAAUAAUCUUCAAUCAAACAACCAUAAGAGAAAAAACCAAAUUUUCAACUAGGUUGGGUUUUCUUUCCCAAAAAUGUUUUAUUUUUAUAGGUUUUUUGUCCGAUUCUCCUUUGAUGGCUUCUCUACUAACUCUCUAUUAAACCUUUCAGUUAGUGGAUCCAUAAUGUUAUCCUUUGACUUUACUUGUCAAUAGAAAUAACUUUAGUAGAGAAUUUGCUAUAUCUAUGACAUAUAUAUCUAACUUAUUAUUAUAUUACAAAGCUUGCAUACAAAUUUGCUACUUAGGCUUUGAUAUAAUCAAUAGUUUUAGUCCUAUCCACCUUUUUCAGUGAGUUUAUGAAAACUUUAGCAUAAUAUCUCCCUACAUUCAUAAGAACAUGUUAGAAAAGUUCCAUUUUUUCUACAAUUCAUAUUGGGUAGUUGCUGCUUUCUUUUGGGCGAAUAACUUUAUAGCUUUGACCAUGUUUAACAUUUACCUUUUCCAUUGAUAUGAUCAUUUUGUUUCCUUCUUCAAGUUGAAGUCAAGCAAUUAGAUUUUCAUUAUUUUCUUCCUAUUGCUUGUGUUUAAGGUAAUUUUUGAAAUCUUUCCAUCUAAGUGGUAGCUUCUCAACAACCAAUUGGAAAGUUCCACUCAAAUUCAUCUUCUUGGCAUGAAUAUAUGACAAGUAAUUAUAAUUCUCAAACUUUACCUAUCAUAGUUUGAGACUUCAAUAUUCCAUAAGCUAAGAAGUGGCUUAUGAUAAAUUUCUUAGUGCCAACAUCCUUGUUUUUAUAUUUUUUUAUACUAUUCACAUUGUACAAAAAUUGGUCAAAUUAUGCUGUCAUAAUUUUCAAUAUCCAAAUCGUUGUUGCCAUAUUGAAAGCUUGCCAGAAAAAUCUAAAGGAAAACACCUUUGCUAGUUUAUCGGUGGCAUUUGUUGUACACUUUGUUAUUAGUAGAAAUAGUGACUUUUGUCAAAUUGCCGCCAUCAACUCGAGCAUUACAUUGGCACACCAAUUGUGACAUGACUUAGGUUGUUCCUCUCAUUAUCUUGCCACCAUGAUUUUAAGGGCAACAGAUGAAUAAAUUCCAAAGACAGCCAAGUUAUAUGCAAAAACACACUGGUUAGGUUCCUAAGAAAGAAUGGAUGUGUCACAAAUGGUCGUACUUAAAACUUGAACUCCUUAGGCAGUGUAUAGCCUUUGUGAUAGAACUUUCUUUUUUUUACACAUAGAAGCAUCUUGUUAGAUAAUACAACAUGUUUACCCCACCUUUGAAAUUGUUUCUAUUGAAUUUUUUGGAUUUUCUCAUAUAUUAACUGUAUCAACACAAUUGGAUUUGUAUAAUCCUCCAUGAAUCUUCCAGGUUUAAAUUAUUCAUGUUUCAAAUAGUAAUUUUGUCUAAUUAACAUAAAUAAUAUGUUAACUCACAAUGUUCAAACCAAUAAAAUUAAACUUUAUUGAUAUUUAGUUUGACAUUCAAUAAUUCGAGCUUAAACAAAUAUUUAGCUCUUCUAUUUUAUUGACAAAAUUAUAUUUCAUACUAUUUUAUCUAGAGUUCGAUACCAUUAUCUUGUGACACUUUCUUGUUUAAUAUGUCUUUAGAGUUCCAUUGCUACCCACUUUUGAAGGUCCUCACUAGACACUAUAGUGCACAAUGCACCCUUUGGCAUAUAAAGCAUUCUUCAUUGCUCGCAUUUAGUCCUUAACCAACAUUUUCUUGUGCAAAAUGUUCCUUGUAUAUUUUGUACAAGUCUCGCAACCUUCCUAGGUAUAGACAUCCAUUACCUUCUUAUUUUCCUUGACACACAACACAUUGUGCACUUCACCUUACCAAAAUUUCUUUUGGCUUGAAUAGCUUCAACCUUUGCCGUAAUGUUGUGAAAAUUUUAUUGAACUCACAUGUGCACAAAUCUAUUGUAGAAUAUAUUAAUUGUGAUAAGUGAGGAGGUGAAUUUUAAUUAUGUGUAGAGUUAAUUUUCUAAGUGGGUGAUUGGAUUUAUAGUAGAAGUGAUUUAGAUUAUCCUAAAAUUUAAAUUAAAAUGGCGGGAAUAAAUUGAAGUGAAAUCUAUUUAAAUGAAGUGCUUGGGUAUCUGGAUCUACAUCAACAUGCAUCAUGAGCUUAAUAUUCCUUAUUAGUGCCAAUUAAAUCAUGAAGGGGGUUUCCUCUCAUAAACCACACUCUAAUCAAUAUGGUGUUAAGAGCUUAUCGUGCCAAAUAGUAAAAACCUUGUACUAGGGAGCCGGUUAUACCAAUGUGGUAUCUAUAUAAGAUUAUUACUAUCUGUCGAUGAAAAGUCAAAAUAUCCACAAAAAUCAGAGGGGAAGAGAAAGUAAAUUUACCAAAUAAAGCCCAUGGAACAUGUUGAAACUUCACAUUCAACCCAAGUUUGAAAGAAAAUUAGCUACUCAUAAUUGAACUAGGGGUAAAAUGAGAAUUUAUUAAAAUACGUAGAAAAUACAAGAUUGAGAAGGAAUUACAGAAAAUAGAGCUAAAAAUUUAAUUCAGGGGUGUCGAAUUAAGGGGGGAGAACUCCCUUUUUAUAAAUACAAUGAGUAAAUCAUGGCUAUCAAAUUAAAACAAUUUGGACGCUCAGGAUUACACCACGUGGCAAGUUCUGAUUGGAUAGAACACAACAUCAGGGUUGCUAUUCCGUGUAUAUGCAUGUACCGUACGCACAUUUUUGGUCCACUAACAUACUGCCACGUCAUCGGUCAACACCACAUUAAUAUUUUAGUCCAAUAGGAUCAUGACACAUCAUUGGUCAACGCUAACUCAUUAGUCAAUGCCACAUAAGCAGUCAAUGCCACAUCAUUCGUCCAAUCGAAUGCUGCUACAUCAUUGGUCCAAUCGAAUGCUGCUACAUCAUUGGUUAGUGUCACGUCAUCGGUCAAUGCCAUGUCAUCGGAUUGUAUAUAUGAACAGUGUCGUGAACAUUACCAUGUCCAGUACCGUACAUAUGAAUAAUAUUGUACAUGUGAACAAUAUUGUUUACCCUUUUAUGCUCAUUCUAAGGUUUCGACUGUCCUAAGUCCAAAAUUGCUGUCCGUUUUGGUCUCUAAUCUUUCGUUGAUUGUGAAAUGACCAUGAUGCCCCUAAAAUACAUAAAAUAUUUAAUUCAAAUAAAACACACAUAAUUAAAUCACAAGGGACUUAAAUAUAUAAAAGUAGGGAUGUUAGUGAGACUUGAAGUGUAAAAUGAUGAUUUUCUCCUUCAUAAAUAUACAUUUUCUAACACUCAAAACAUGGCUUCUCUAAGUUCAUGGACUUCUUGGCAAAGUUUUAUGAAACUUGCCGAUGGCUAGAUGAACUCAUCAUCUGCAUUUAGCCAAUUAAUCCUCUAAUAUUACAACAUUGGCUUUACUCAUCCUAAUUUUAGUUUGUGAUUUUAGAAUCUGAUUCUGUUUUAAGUUUUAAGGAAAUUCCAUUAUAUAC
rnacentral:lncRNA from 1 species